GAUGAACGCUGGCUGCGUGCUUAACGCAUGCAAGUCGAACGAAGCACUUUAUUUGAUUUCCUUCGGGACUGAUUAUUUUGUGACUGAGUGGCGGACGGGUGAGUAACGCGUGGGUAACCUGCCUUGUACAGGGGGAUAACAGUUGGAAACGGCUGCUAAUACCGCAUAAGCGCACAGCAUCGCAUGAUGCAGUGUGAAAAACUCCGGUGGUAUAAGAUGGACCCGCGUUGGAUUAGCUAGUUGGUGAGGUAACGGCCCACCAAGGCGACGAUCCAUAGCCGACCUGAGAGGGUGACCGGCCACAUUGGGACUGAGACACGGCCCAAACUCCUACGGGAGGCAGCAGUGGGGAAUAUUGCACAAUGGGCGAAAGCCUGAUGCAGCGACGCCGCGUGAGCGAAGAAGUAUUUCGGUAUGUAAAGCUCUAUCAGCAGGGAAGAUAAUGACGGUACCUGACUAAGAAGCACCGGCUAAAUACGUG
rnacentral:rRNA from 1 species